rnacentral:siRNA from 1 species
AGGUUACUAACUGUUAGGUCCACC